rnacentral:tRNA from 1 species
GUAAUAGGAAUGUGGUAGAGCGCUCGCUUCGCAUGCGAGAUGUCCCGGGUUCGAUCCCCGGCACCUCCAG